rnacentral:lncRNA from 1 species
AAUAUCUUGCUACGGCGGAGUUGAUCCCGGGAUGUGACACAAGGCCAGAAGUGUUAUCUAUCCAAUCACACUUAGAGAAUGAGAUUCUAAACUUUUGGUAGUCAAUGUCCCAAAUAUCUUCAGUGACACCAUAAAAACCCAUAAUUGAGACAAUCAGGAUUUUCUCCUUGGCACUAGCAACUUGCAUAGUAUGUGCACG